rnacentral:tRNA from 1 species
GGGGAUAUAGCUCAGUGGUAGAGCGCAUGCUUAGCGUUCAUGAGGUCCUGGGUUCCAUCCCAAGUACAUCCA